rnacentral:rRNA from 1 species
UACGUAGGGUGCGAGCGUUGUCCGGAAUUAUUGGGCGUAAAGGGCUCGUAGGCGGUUUGUCACGUCGGGAGUGAAAACUCGGGGCUUAACCCCGAGCCUGCUUCCGAUACGGGCAGACUAGAGGUAUGCAGGGGAGAACGGAAUUCCUGGUGUAGCGGUGGAAUGCGCAGAUAUCUGGAGGAACACCGGUGGCGAAGGCGGCGAGUCCUGGACCAACACGUGACACUGAUGAGCGAAAGCCAGGGAGACAAACGGGAGUU